rnacentral:lncRNA from 1 species
UAGGGAAGUAGCAAGAUGGAAAAGGAGAAGUUUUUCAUUUAUAAUCACAAGAUCCACCAACGAAACCCUUUGAUUGCCAAAACACAAAAACUGUAGAACGACGUAGUUUUAUAAAUUAAAUUUGUACCAAGCAUGUGGGCGAUGAAAACACUUAGUCGCCAAAUCUCAUGAAAGUGUUUGGAUGUGAAUUUAUAAAUUAAAUUCGUAGCAAGCAUUUGUUGCGUCGAAUUUUGGAGUUUCAUGCCCACCCCACUAAUAAAAGGGGCGACCAAAAAGGCGUUUGGUGGCAAAAUCAUGGCCUCGCCAAGAAACAAUGUCGUCGCCUUACCUAAAUCUGUCUUCGCUAUUCUGUUCAUUGAACACUUCAUACAUGCCUAA